rnacentral:rRNA from 1 species
GUUACGAUUUGAUGCAAGGUUAAGCAGUAAAUGUGGAGCCGUAGCGAAAGCGAGUCUGAAUAGGGCGUUUAGUAUUUGGUCGUAGACCCGAAACCAGGUGAUCUACCCUUGGUCAGGUUGAAGUUCAGGUAACACUGAAUGGAGGACCGAACCGACUUACGUUGAAAAGUGAGCGGAUGAACUGAGGGUAGCGGAGAAAUUCCAAUCGAACCUGGAGAUAGCUGGUUCUCUCCGAAAUAGCUUUAGGGCUAGCCUCAAGUGAUGAUUAUUGGAGGUAGAGCACUGUUUGGACGAGGGGCCCCUCUCGGGUUACCGAAUUCAGACAAACUCCGAAUGCCAAUUAAUUUAACUUGGGAGUCAGAACAUGGGUGAUAAGGUCCGUGUUCGAAAGGGAAACAGCCCAGACCACCAGCUAAGGUCCCAAAAUAUAUGUUAAGUGGAAAAGGAUGUGGCGUUGCCCAGACAACUAGGAUGUUGGCUUAGAAGCAGCCAUCAUUUAAAGAGUGCGUAAUAGCUCACUAGUCGAGUGACACUGCGCCGAAAAUGUACCGGGGCUAAACAUAUUACCGAAGCUGUGGAUUGUCCUUUGGACAAUGGUAGGAGAGCGUUCUAAGGGCGUUGAAGCAUGAUCGUAAGGACAUGUGGAGCGCUUAGAAGUGAGAAUGCCGGUGUGAGUAGCGAAAGACGGGUGAGAAUCCCGUCCACCGAUUGACUAAGGUUUCCAGAGGAAGGCUCGUCCGCUCUGGGUUAGUCGGGUCCUAAGCUGAGGCCGACAGGCGUAGGCGAUGGAUAACAGGUUGAUAUUCCUGUACCACCUAUAAUCGUUUUAAUCGAUGGGGGGACGCAGUAGGAUAGGCGAAGCGUGCGAUUGGAUUGCACGUCUAAGCAGUAAGGCUGAGUAUUAGGCAAAUCCGGUACUCAUUAAGGCUGAGCUGUGAUGGGGAGAAGACAUUGUGUCUUCGAGUCGUUGAUUUCACACUGCCGAGAAAAGCCUCUAGAUAGAAAAUAGGUGCCCGUACCGCAAACCGACACAGGUAGUCAAGAUGAGAAUUCUAAGGUGAGCGAGCGAACUCUCGUUAAGGAACUCGGCAAAAUGACCCCGUAACUUCGGGAGAAGGGGUGCUCUUUAGGGUUAACGCCCAGAAGAGCCGCAGUGAAUAGGCCCAAGCGACUGUUUAUCAAAAACACAGGUCUCUGCUAAACCGUAAGGUGAUGUAUAGGGGCUGACGCCUGCCCGGUGCUGGAAGGUUAAGAGGAGUGGUUAGCUUCUGCGAAGCUACGAAUCGAAGCCCCAGUAAACGGCGGCCGUAACUAUAACGGUCCUAAGGUAGCGAAAUUCCUUGUCGGGUAAGUUCCGACCCGCACGAAAGGCGUAACGAUUUGGGCACUGUCUCAACGAGAGACUCGGUGAAAUCAUAGUACCUGUGAAGAUGCAGGUUACCCGCGACAGGACGGAAAGACCCCGUGGAGCUUUACUGUAGCCUGAUAUUGAAAUUCGGCACAGCUUGUACAGGAUAGGUAGGAGCCUUUGAAACGUGAGCGCUAGCUUACGUGGAGGCGCUGGUGGGAUACUACCCUAGCUGUGUUGGCUUUCUAACCCGCACCACUUAUCGUGGUGGGAGACAGUGUCAGGCGGGCAGUUUGACUGGGGCGGUCGCCUCCUAAAAGGUAACGGAGGCGCUCAAAGGUUCCCUCAGAAUGGUUGGAAAUCAUUCAUAGAGUGUAAAGGCAUAAGGGAGCUUGACUGCGAGACCUACAAGUCGAGCAGGGUCGAAAGACGGACUUAGUGAUCCGGUGGUUCCGCAUGGAAGGGCCAUCGCUCAACGGAUAAAAGCUACCCCGGGGAUAACAGGCUUAUCUCCCCCAAGAGUUCACAUCGACGGGGAGGUUUGGCACCUCGAUGUCGGCUCAUCGCAUCCUGGGGCUGUAGUCGGUCCCAAGGGUUGGGCUGUUCGCCCAUUAAAGCGGUACGCGAGCUGGGUUCAGAACGUCGUGAGACAGUUCGGUCCCUAUCCGUCGUGGGCGUAGGAAAUUUGAGAGGAGCUGUCCUUAGUACGAGAGGACCGGGAUGGACAUACCUCUGGUGUACCAGUUGUCGUGCCAACGGCAUAGCUGGGUAGCUAUGUGUGGACGGGAUAAGUGCUGAAAGCAUCUAAGCAUGAAGCCCCCCUCAAGAUGAGAUUUCCCAACUUCGGUUAUAAGAUCCCUCAAAGAUGAUGAGGUUAAUAGGUUCGAGGUGGAAGCAUGGUGACAUGUGGAGCUGACGAAUACUAA